AUUGAACGCUGGCGGCAGGCCUAACACAUGCAAGUCGAACGAGUGGCGGACGGGUGAGUAAUGUCUGGGAAACUGACUGAUGGAGGGGGAUAACUACUGGAAACGGUAGCUAAUACCGCAUACCAUCAGAUGUGCCCAGAUGGGAUUAGCUUGUGGGUGGGGUAACGGCUCCCCAAGGCGACGAUCCCUAGCUGGGCUGAGAGGAUGACCAGCCCCACUGUAACUGAGACACUGUCCCGACUCCUACGGGCGGCAGCAGUGGGGAAUUUUGCACAAUGGGCGCAAGCCUGAUGCAGCCAUUCCGCGUGUAUGAAGUAUGCCUUCGGGUUGUAAAGUACUUUCAGCGGGGAGUCGUUACCCGCAGAAGAAGCACCGGCUAACUCCGUGCCAGCAGCCGCGGUAAUAC
rnacentral:rRNA from 1 species